ACCUAGAGCGAAAACUUCAAAUUAAUCGAAGUGAUUCUUUGAUAGUUUCAGCUCCAUCGAAGGAUCAAAAUUCUUUAAAAAGCAGAUCCUUCAAGGAUCUGAUCUCUUUUUAUCCUGAAAAUUCAAAAGUGAAGGUCUAUUGUUAGAGUCCAAUUCAAUUGUUAGUCGACAAAAAAGUGCGCAGUGAAUAAUUAAAAGUUAUAAGUACGGUUAAUCGCUUAAAUAGUGAGAACAUUCAAUUCACAAAAGUACGCAAACGAAAAAAAAACAGGAAAAAAGGUCCACGAAGGGCCUUUUUUCUUUCUUUCGGACAGCUGAACCAGUGAAAGCGGACGGGAACCCUCUGUGGUCGGUAGUUGUACCUGUCGGGAACCAGACGGGAACCCUCUGUGGUCGGUCGUUGUACCUGUCGGGAGCGUGCCUGUCGAGGUGUGGAGUGGAGAAUCAGACCAAGAACCCAGUCCCUUCUUCCGGUUCGUCUACGGAUAGCCAAAACCGAUACCGCCAAGCUCGACAGACCUCCACCAUCAAGCAAGCCGCUUGCCAACCGACCCAUUCGUCCCGCCGCUAUCGUCAGCAUCGCAUGAAGCAAUUCGCCUCUGGUGGAUACCGCCAUUUUGCCAGAUCGUGCCCUGCAGAGUGAAGACACCUCUCCUUCGGCAUUUCAUCAUCGCUUGUGGAUGAUGCCGAUUCCCACAAAACACAGCAUGCAGACAGCGUAGUGAGCUACACCCACCACCAAGACACGCAAGUACCCCUGUAUGACGUCAGGCAAUAAAUUAUAAGACUAUGAAACGAAAUUUCGCACGAGUAGCUAAUUUAUUAGAAGCAUAGCCCUGGUGAUUGAUAUUUCCACUACUCUUCGGUUUUCCGCUUUUCUUUUGGGUUCAAAAAGGAACCAAUAAGCUUCCUCUUUCGAAUUUCCUUAAAAAUUGAUCUUUUUAUUGGAAUAAGAUGCUUUUCGAUGUGCAGUGUAACGAGUUACCAUUGAAUACUGAGUGUGAGUGAAAUCUAUUGUUGGCCAAAUCGGACAGUCAGUGUCAUCUCAUAUGAAUGAACUUCUUUCAGUGUUU